AAAGGAAUUUCUGGAUUAUAUGGUAACUAUGUUUAGCUUUUUGAGAAACUAUCAAAUUCUUUUCCAAAGUGGCUGUACCAUUUUACAUUUCUAACUGCAAU
rnacentral:pre_miRNA from 1 species